rnacentral:rRNA from 1 species
UACGUAGGCGGAAAAUUAAGUCAGUAGUGAAAUCCUGCAGCUUAACUGUAGAACUGUUAUUGAUACUGGUUUUCUUGAAUAUAGUUGAGGUAGGCGGAAUGUGUAAUGUAGCGGUGAAAUGCUUAGAUAUUACACAGAACACCGAUUGCGGAGGCAGCUUACUAAGCUAUGAUUGACGCUGAGGUACGAAAGCGUGGGGAGCGAACAGGAUUAGAUACCCUGGUAGUCC